rnacentral:lncRNA from 1 species
AUAUUUAUAAGAAUUUCCUAAGUUUACCCAGUUGUACAUGAUAAGGCAACAUAUGGUUGAUGUUUCCUUGCGAAACACAUUAUGGCCUUAGCAAUGUUUUUUUGAGCUUGUUUCAGGCCUGCCAGUGAGAUUAAUGUGCGAAAGGAUCUUAUAAAAGUUAAACUAGCUUUUUCAAAGAAUCAAGCUAAUGGUUGAUGUUCCCUUGCCUUUAGCUGAUCGGUUCUUUCAGAAACACAUUAAUGGCCAUGGUUGUGGUUCUC